rnacentral:rRNA from 1 species
CGGACGGGUGAGUAACGCGUGAGUAACCUGCCUUUCAGAGGGGGAUAACGUUCUGAAAAGAACGCUAAUACCGCAUAACAUCAAUUUAUCGCAUGAUAGGUUGAUCAAAGGAGCAAUCCGCUGGAAGAUGGACUCGCGUCCGAUUAGCCAGUUGGCGGGGUAACGGCCCACCAAAGCGACGAUCGGUAGCCGGACUGAGAGGUUGACCGGCCACAUUGGGACUGAGACACGGCCCAGACUCCUACGGGAGGCAGCAUG